CCUACGGGAGGCAGCAGUAGGGAAUAUUGCUCAAUGGGGGAAACCCUGAAGCAGCAACGCCGCGUGGAGGAUGAAGGUUUUCGGAUUGUAAACUCCUUUUGUUAGAGAAGAUAAUGACGGUAUCUAACGAAUAAGCACCGGCUAACUCCGUGCCGGCAGCCGCGGUAAUACGGAGGGUGCAAGCGUUACUCGGAAUCACUGGGCGUAAAGAGCGCGUAGGCGGGAUAGCAAGUCAGAUGUGAAAGCCUAUGGCUUAACCGUAGAACUGCAUUUGAAACUGUGAGUCUAGAGUAUGGGAGAGGUAGGUGGAAUUCUUGGUGUAGGGGUAAAAUCCGUAGAGAUCAAGAAGAAUACUCAUUGCGAAGGCGACCUGCUAGAACAUAACUGACGCUGAUGCGCGAAAGCGUGGGGAGCGAACAGGAUUAGAUACCCUUGUAGUC
rnacentral:rRNA from 1 species